AGCCGCGUGCCAGUGACAGGGUCUCGAAUUCUCGAUACGAUCGUCUUGUCUACCCUACUGGCCUACUACUCAAGUCAAGGUCUCGCCUUCGCAAUACUGCGUCCGCCUUUCUCUAGGCGACAGGCGAGCUCCCACGCCUCACCAAAUUUUGGCGGGUUUUCGACCUGGACAUUGCUCGUUGCCCGCCCUCCUCAGUUCCUGCAUCUCUCCCAUUCCACAGCUGCCGCCUGCCGGCAUAUCGCAUACCCUAGGGCGCAGGGCCACUGGAAAUCGCUGAAGCGCCUCGGUGCGAAUGCUCCUCUCCAACAUCUUUGAGCCGCACGGGACAGCAGGAUAAGCAGCAUAAUGGCGUCCUAUUAUUCCUCUUGGAGGCAAAGGCAGACAAUCCGAUUUCCAAGGCUGCAAACUAUAAAUCACGGUCAGGUGAUUUCAUUCCAACAUAUGCUCGGGCUGCUUGUUCGUCCAGAUGUUGGAGUAAUUGUCAUCCAAGGUAUUGCUGGCUCUGGAAAGACAUGGGCUGCGAAGGCUGCAUACCGGGCAGCAAGGACUUCGAAUCUCUUUCAAGAGUAUGUUUGGGUUCCCUUGUCAAUUAACUGUAGCAUGAGACAGUGUCUCAAUAAGAUUGCAGCAUCUCUUUCAUGUAACAAAGGAGAUAACUUGUCUGUAGAAAGAACCAAGGCCAUAAUCAAGGAAUAUCUCACAGCACGGAAAUUCCUCAUUGUUCUUGAUAAUGUUUAUUUUACUGAAGAGGGUAUCUUAGAAUACCUGGGAGUUCCUCGUCCUCGACAGCAAAGUCUUGGCUCAAAAAUAUUUGUGACUACACGAACUGUGAGGGGAGAAUCAAUCAUGGAGCCAGAUGUAGUUAUAAUGCCACAACCUCUUACUUAUGAAGAGUCAUACGACCUGCUGCGUGAAAAGAUUGGAAAAGAUAUCAACUUUGCACAUGACUUAAUCAGUUGCUGUUUUGGCAUGCCGCUCACAGUCAUUCUAUUGGCUGGGGUUCUGUAUGGCUCACCUACACAAGAAGCAUUUGAUGAGUUGGUCGCAAAAGCGCAUGUCACUCUAGAAGCUCAGACAUCAGCGUUAAACACCAUGAAGCGCCUGGUGAAAUUUGGAUACCAGCAGCUUCCUAACAAUAAUGUGCGACGAUGCUUGCUGUACUGCCUACUCUUCCCGGAGGAUCAAGGAAUUUCAGUCAAAAAUCUGGCACUGGAAAACAGAUGGUCUACUCCAGAAAACUACUGAUUUUGAUGAGGUUAACCAUAUUGGCAAGGAAAUUCUUGAUGUUCUCAUAAAGCAUGGCAUGUUAUAUUUGGACGUCGAUGGUGAUUAUAUACGUCGAUGGCAUGUUAUAUUUGGACGUCGAUGGCAUGUUAUAUUUGGACGUCGAUGUAGAUAGGAGGUCGUUCGAUUCCAUCACCUCCGCCACCUAUAGCUUGACUACACGACGGCCUCAGGUAUACUCGUUUUUUACACAAUAUUAAUCGAUCAUAUAACUGCUUGAUGUGGUUAGUUAUUUAUUAGUGUAUAGUUAGUAUUAAGUGUUUAGGCAUUAUUAGAUUAGUAAGUAUAUAGGUAGUAGUAUAUAGUUAUAUGUAAGCAAUUAUCUAUUACUUAUUUAUUACUUAGUAAGUAUUUAGGCAUUAGUAUAUUAGUAGAUGGGGAUAGUAUUUAGUUAGGCAUUAGUUGAUAGUGUUAGUCAGGUACCAUCUUUAAUGGUUAUUGAGUUAUGAAUCCGUGUUUGUAAUAGAUGGACACCCUAGUGACACUAUAACGUGGAGGAAGCGUGGAGGAAGAUGUUUAUAGGAAUGUUAGUUUUGAUGUAAUGAAGAACGUGAAUGUGAUGUUCGAUGAAAGGCCCUCUUUUGGCUAGAUUUUCGCAAGAGCUUGUGAGGAGAUUAGUUGCAAUUUAAACGACCCUGUCAACAUAUCAAUUGAGGGUUUAUUGUCCCAUGUUGCAUCUGGGACAAUAUUUUGACAGUUGAUCUCCAUUGGCUCUGAAGAUGACUGGUUGAAAUAUGUCAAAAUUGUGAUGACGAUUGUUCACAAAUUUUGACAUAUGCAUCUCCAGUCGGGUUGAAAUAUGUUUGGAUGUGGUCGUUUGAAAGUUAUUCUUUGAAGCUCCAGUCGGUUAUCUCCACAAAUGCCAAAUGCAUCUCCUUGUGAAGCUCUUUUGCCUAAGCUUCCGGAAGAAGUGAUGCUUGUGUCGGAUGCUCAAUCGGUCCCAAACGAGGUUGAGAUCCCUCAUCCAGUUCAUGGCGUUUGUGGGGCCUCGAAUUCGGUGGUACCCCCCAGGACAUCCCUUUGACCCAGGAUCAUCCUAGUAAGUGUCUUUAACACGCUAUUCAUAUGCAUCGUUAAUUCGUUUGAUGAGACUUUAAUGUAGUAUUUGCUCCUUCGACGCGAUGCAUGAGUUCGACAACUAUAUAAUGGUGCUUAUCUUUCUGUGCCCCUAUCAUCCAAUAUGGACCACAUAUGCAGUGCCUCAAAUAGUGUUGAUGUUCAGAUUGAGGAUGAGGAGGAGCUAUAUGAGGCUGCACGGGUGUAACACCCUGAAUUUGGGGGUAUAAAAUUUCUUUCUUAAUACCCACCAAAUUCAGGUGUUACCCUCUCCUCUCCUUGCUUUUCUUUUCUUUCUCCUAAAUAGUGAAGAAGUAUUUUUGUGUUAUACUUAUGUGUAAGCCUAGUAAAAUAAAACCCUAGUGGUGCUUUGAUUGUUGCAUCAUGCUGGAGCUUAUAUAUUUUGUACUUGAUGACUGAAGUUGGUGUGUAUUCAUUCCAUUUGAAUCAUGCAUAAGUGUGAAUUCAAAAAAAUAAGGAAAUAGAAAAGAAAAGAAAGAGAAAUGAAGAAAUAAGGGAAAAACCACACCAACACCCCCUCCUUUGGCCUUAGCCGGCCCAACCCAUCCCCCUCCACUCACCUCACCCCGCAGCCCAGCUCCCUGGCCCACUCGGCGCCCCGCGCCAGUGCUCCCCCGCGGCCUACGCGCGAGCUUUCCCCCAGCCCAUCCCACGGCCCAGCGCGCCCCCCUUUCCCCCCUGGCGGCCCACCUCGCUCGGGCCAGCAGCCGCUCCCCGCGCGUGCCCUAGCGCUCGCGCGCGCAACCGUCACGCGCUGCCCAGCCGCGGCUCGCGCUUGCUCGCCUAGCCGCGCACUCCCCUCGCGCGCCAGCAGCAGCGCCAGCCCAGCGCCUUGCACGCGUGUGCGCGCCCUAUCCCAGCCGUCGCGCCGCUCGCGUCCCACCAGCAGCGCGCAUGCAGCACCCGCGACGCAACCGCCCUGCUGCCCACUCUCUCCAGCUCGCCCACGACGCCCAGAACCCGGAGCCGAAACCACCCCAUGGAUUCGUAGCGUGUUGACCGAGCGGCCAUUCUCACGAUCGUUGUUAAUAGGGAACACACUCACACCCUCUCCUCUUCUUCGCUCGCUCUCUGUCGUCGAAAUAAUCUCCGGCUGCACGCAACCAAGACCUCCACUCGCCGGCCAUGGUGGACGCAAGGUGUCGUCGUCGACGCUGUUCUCUUCCCCGGCGCGCUCGUCGCUCGUACCCGCCUCGUCGGUCGUCCUCGGCGGGUGUAGAUCGUGAUUCGUUUCCAAACCUCGAGGAAUCGAGGAUCAAGCGCUGGCGACCAAGUGAUCUGGCUCUUCGAGUUCUACAAGAUUGAAGACCCUGAGCAUCUGUUUGGUGAAGGCAAGUGUUCUCUGACCCAUUAUGUCACAUUUACUGUAUAAUUCACUGUCCCGCAUACUAUGAACAACAUAAGGAUUGACUAGCUUUCUAUUUACCUUGUCCUUGAUUACCUUUUGGGUUACUAUGGUUAGCUACAUGCUAGCGCUUUACUUUAAUCAAUGAACAUGAUGAGAUACAAUGAUGAUACUAUGAUUUUAUUCUGGA